CACGAAAUACUGAAGAACGACAUUGUAAAAUUUACAAUCAAUAAAAAACAAUAUGACGGAAAAGUAAUCGAGUAUUCAAGUAAUUCUCAAUAUUUGAAAACCCAAAGUAGCAAAUUUAAUAAGAUGGUUGAUGAAAAUCGAAAAAAGCCCUUGGUUGAGAUUACAACUAAACGAAAGCCAAUUCCUAUAAGGAGUUGGUCUCCAAGUGAUUCGCCUCCAUUAAAAGAAACAAAAAAACAAUUAAAAAGUACUGAAAAUAAAAAAUUCAAGAAAUUAAAUGAAAGUACGGAGUCAAGUGCAUCUUCAAACAUAUCUAGUGAGAACAUCAGUGAUAAUGAACUUAUUCAUAAAAACAAUAAAAAAAGUCAUCAGGCGAAAUAGAAAAUAUUAGUCCAUCGAAAAAUGACUUAAAAAAGCAGAUAGAAUUGCUAAAUGCUCAAAAGAAAGAGUCAUUAAUAGCAGAAAACAGUAAUAUUUGUACAUUGACUCUUCAAGACCAAAAUAAUAAGUCAUCGAGCAAGGAAAUACCUUCAGAUAAAAAUGUUAAUCAAGAUGUAUCAACAGACAAAAAAUCUGAUCGGGAAGAAGUAAAAAAUAAAAAUGAUUUCGAUAAUCUUAACGAGCGUGAAAAUGUUGAGCAAUUAUUCUCUCCUAAUCAUGAUGACGGAAAAAUGAAAUACAUUGGAAAUGAUGUAUACUGCAGAGAAGUAAUCUAUAAUUCAGCAUUGGGAGCUUCGCAUAAGGCAACGCACUUGGCAAGAAGGUUACUAGAAGGUGUGUUUAAACACGAAGCUUUGAUGGGUUGUACUUUAACA